AUUACCUCAUUUGCUUCACAGCCUAAUGAAUGCUUUAUGGCUGAGAAAUGAUGGAGGAAGCGAGUGAGACUGAAGAGAUGAAGAAACUGAGGCACACAGAGAGAGACCCGGACAUGGCAUUCCCAGCAGUACUCAGAAAAGGAAGAAAGUACCGGAUUCCACACUGGGAUUGAUAUGUGUGGGACAAAGGUAGCUGGUUCAGAAAUUGGAGCUAAAAACCUUGAGAAGAGGCCCCUUGGAAGUGGCAGCAAUCUGGAGGAGAGCUUUGGGUUUCCAAAGGCCACAGAAUGGGUGGGAGAUGGCCACCCCACAGGACAUAAGGGCCCAGCACAGAGCUUGGACGUGUGAGCUGCUCCACCCAUAUUCGUUGGGUGAAAGGUGCCUAGGAGAUGGCGUGGCAGAGAAGGAAAAUGUGCUGGAGUGGAAGAAACCAGAGCGAGAGAAGCUAACUUGCCAGAGUCCAUUGCCUGGCCAAAGAGCAGAAAAAGGAAGACAAAUGCUUGGAAGGAAAGAGGGAAGGACAAAAAGCUGGACUGAGAAGUUCUACUUUCACUUUUUGUUGUUUUUGUUUCUUUAUUUAAGAAAAGCAACAAGGGGGCCAGGCACAGUGGCUCACGCCUGUAAUCCCAGCAUUUUGGGAGACUGAGGUGGGCGGAACACCUGAGGCUAGGAGUUCGAGACUAGCCUGACCAACAUGGUGAAACCCCAUCAGUAUGAAAAAUACAAAGGUUAGCCAGGCGUGGUGGUGCACACCUGUAGUCCCAGCUACUCAGGAGGCUGAGGCAAGAGAAUCGCUUGAACCCAGGAGGUGGAGGUUGCAGUGCACCAAGAUCGCGCCACUGUACUCCAUCCAGGGCAACAGAGCAAGACUCCAAAAAAAACAAAACAAAACAAAAAACAAAAAACAAAAAAAAAAGAAGAAGAAGAAGAAAGAAAGAAAAGCAACAAGGGAGAAAUGUCAAGAGAGUGCUAGAAGGAAGUGAAGGCAAAUGUGGGAGAUAAGAAUUAAUUCUUUGUUUCUCUUUUCUCUCUGAGAAUGUUAGAUCUCUGAUCUAAUUCUCCACUGCUUCCUGCUCUUUGUAUCUGUUUUUAUUAUUCUCUCCCAUUAAACCAUAAGCAACUUGAGGGCAGACAAUCAGUUUUACUCCUUUUAUAUCCAC
rnacentral:lncRNA from 1 species